UUACUGGGCGUAAAGCGGGCGCAGACGGUUACUUAAGCAGGAUGUGAAAUCCCCGGGCUCAACCUGGGAACUGCGUUCUGAACUGGGUGACUAGAGUGUGUCAGAGGGAGGUAGAAUUCCACGUGUAGCAGUGAAAUGCGUAGAGAUGUGGAGGAAUACCGAUGGCGAAGGCAGCCUCCUGGGAUAACACUGACGUUCAUGCCCGAAAGCGUGGGUAGCAAACAGGAUUAGAUACCCUGGUAGUCCACGCCCUAAACGAUGUCGAUUAGCUGUUGGGCAGCUUGACUGCUUAGUAGCGAAGCUAACGCGUGAAAUCGACCGCCUGGGGAGUACGGUCGCAAGAUUAAAACUCAAAGGAAUUGACGGGGACCCGCACAAGCGGUGGAUGAUGUGGAUUAAUUCGAUGCAACGCGAAGAACCUUACCUGGUCUUGACAUGUACGGAACCCUCCAGGGACGGAGGGGUGCCUUCGGGAGCCGUAAUACAGGUGCUGCAUGGCUGUCGUCAGCUCGUGUCGUGAGAAG
rnacentral:rRNA from 1 species